rnacentral:lncRNA from 1 species
GGCUGGAUCCGUGCCGCAGCUGGGAUGGACUCUGUGCCAGGCCUGGGCUUGUGGCCAGGGCUGGGGGCUGUGCCAAGCCGGCCUUUGGCCUGGGGGCUCUUGGCGAGGGCGCAGGGAGGAGUCCCGGCAGGAUAAAGGUGCUCCUCACCUGGGGCAGCCUCAGCCAGCGCUCCCCACUCACUGGCACAGGAGGAAGAGGAAGAUGAAGGUGGCUGUGCUCGCCGUGGCCCUGCUCUUCUCCAUCCUGCUGUGCCCCCCGGCUGAGGCUGGCACUCGAUGCUCCCUGGAUCUCAGACGGGGCUGGAUGUGCCACCACGACUUCGGCUCCGGGGGAGGAUUCCCUCCUCCAGGCCACCACGGGCGCAGACACCGGGGGCCGUUCCAUCACCGUGGUAAGUUCUGGAGCCGCGGGGGGCCGGGGGAACUGGGAACCAGUUUGUCCUCUCUGUCCCUUACUGGGUUUGGGACAGCGCGGUGACGCGUCCCCGUCUCUGCAGGGGGAAGCCACAGCUCGGAGGAGCGAGGUGAGUCCCGGCAGCUCUGGGAGCAGAUCCCAGUAAAUCCCAGUAAAUCCCAGUAAAUCUCAGUAAAUCCCAGUAAAUCUCAGUAAAUCCCAGUAAAUCCCAGUAAAACCCAGUAAAUCCCAGUAAAUCCCAGUAAAUCUCAGUAAAUCCCAGUAAAUCCCAGUAAAUCUCAGUAAAUCCCAGUAAAUCCCAGUAAAUCCCAGUAAAUCCCAGUAAAUCCCAGUAAAUCCCAGUAAAUCUCAGUAAAUCCCAGUAAAUCCCAGUCAAUCUCAGUAAAUCCCAGUAAAUCCCAGUAAAUCCCAGUCAAUCCCAGCAAAUCCCAGUAAAUCCCAGCAAAUCCCAGUAAAUCUCAGUAAAUCUCAGUAAAUCCCAGUAAAUCCCAGUAAAUCCCAGUAAAUCUCAGUAAAUCCCAGUAAAUCUCAGUGCUCCCCAGCUGUUCCCAGAGAGGGGCCCCGCUGUAUUCCCAGUUAUCCCAGUAACCCCCCAGUGCCUCAUUCCCAGUCCAUUUCCUGCCCUCUCUCCCCCCCUUUCCCAGUGCCCACGUGUGGGGUGUCCCCAAACCCCUUCCCCUUCCUCUUCCUCCUCUUCCUCCUCUUCCUCCUCCUCGGGACACCUCGGUGGGGCUGGGGACAUCUCUGGGGCUGGGGACACCUCUGGGGCUGGGGACACCUCAGUGGGGC